CUCCACCACUCCUAUUUUGGGGAAAUAUCGGGAGAACGUUUUGGGGAAACGCUGGAAACACUUUUCCCUUUUAUCCGACUUUGCGUCUUAGCACCGCGUGCGCUAAGCUCAGGGCGCAAAGUUGGGCCUGGGAGAUGGCGAAUGCUGGCUGCCUCCCCACUGCGGCCGGUGACCCUCUCUUCACAGAAGCGGCUCGGCAGCCCAAAUUCGCACGUCUCAUACUCCGCCCGGGUCUCAUACUCUAGGCCACCGGAGCCACAGGUGAGGAAAGGCCUCUGGCUUCUCUGCAGGGCUGGUGACGAAGGAGUGAGAGGGGAAUGGCAGCUCCCACCAGUUCCUGCCUUUGAGACUCUGAGGCCAAGACGAAGACGUCUGGUAAUUCUGACCUUUGGUGUUUACAUUACCAAAGGCCAAACACCUUUUGGAGUAACAGGACUGAAGGACAAAGCUCAGAAGCUUUGCUAUUCAUCAAACAAACCUUGGCAUGACAGAAAACACUGAUUUGGAUAAUUAUAUCAGCAUUUUGGUGUUUCUCCCCCCAAAGAUUAAUGUUUAACAACGGAAAAUGCAGGAAGGAAGCGGUGGGUGUUGGGCACUGGGAUUUUCCCUGUGUUUCGUGGCAGCCAUGUGCCUCCUGCCCUCAUCCUCAGAUAAGACAUGGCCUUGCUUUUUCUUUUCUUUUCUUUUCUUUUUUUUUAAGGUUGAGUAGUUUCAGAAUGGAGACUGUCUGCUGGGAAACUAAAAAUGCUGUUGACUUCACCACUCCCCUGUGCUCAAAAUCCAUUUAUGUCCAUUUAUGUCCACUUGUGGUGCCAGCUGAGUCACUCCAGGACAGUUCUUAGCAUUUCUGCAUCUUAUGAUUUGCAAAGAGGAAGGACGAUACUUGCCCAGAGAGUUCCCUGGUGGUCUAAUGGUUAGGACUCGUCACUUUCAUCGCUGGGGCGCCGGGUCAGACCCUGGUCUGGAAACUGAGAUACCACAUCAAGUUGCAACAAACAACAAACAAAACAAAACAAAGCAAUAACAUGCCCGGUUUAUCUCACAGCACUGUGUUAGCAAACAAGAGAAUCCGUGGGAGAAUCCUAUUAAAUCAGUGACAUUCAGUGUGGAGACAGAGGCGGGGCAGAAAAUGGUGAGGCAGGCCAGUGAGAUAUGGCCUGUGAGGUCAGCCAGCCGACCUGGUGUGGAGUUCGGGCCAUUCUGAUGGGCUACGCAGCCCUGGAUUUAAGACUGGGUCUCCUCUUUUUACUGAAUGAGGUAAAUUCUUCAACGUACAGAAUUAUGACGGUAAAUGAUACACAUAUGUGAAAACCCUCCAAAAUGCUCCUCUUAUCUUUUCUAGCCUUCAUAUUAUCCCUUCUCUCUAUCUUAGAACCCACGGAAGAUCCUCAGACCAAAGCGAGGAGCUCAGACUAGCAGACAGGACUGUAGAAAACCAGAGAGAGGUCAUUAUGGCACCGGAAGAAAUGAUAAGUUAACAAAGGAGGAAGGAAAGAGAAGA
rnacentral:lncRNA from 1 species